GCCUGGAUGGCUCAGUCGGUUAAGCAUCUGACUUUAGCUCAGGUCAUGAUCCCAUGGUUUGUGGGUUCAAGCCCCUCGUCAGCCU
rnacentral:tRNA from 1 species